AUUAUAGGGCCAAGCAUGAGCGUGAAAUCCAUGAUACACCCAUGAUGAACUCAGCUUCCAGGAAGCAGAUGCUUGAUGAGGCUGUGCUUAAUUUCAUUGUAAAGGACUGCCAGCCCCUCGCUGUUGUGGAGAAUGAAGGCUUCAGGGAGCUGGUUCAGCUCCUUGAGCCCUCAUAUGUUUUGCCAACUAGAAAGACCAUCAAACAACUGUUGGCCAAAAAGUACGAGGAGGAACGGGAACGAGUGAAAAUGGAAGUACAGCAGACUGCGGACAGAAUGUGCCUCAAUAGUUGGAAGCUCAA